rnacentral:rRNA from 1 species
CCUACGUGAGGCAGCAGUGAGGAAUAUUGGUCAAUGGCCGUAAGUCUGAACCAGCCAAGUAGCGUGAGGGAAGACUGCCCUAUGGGUUGUAAACCUCUUUUAUGCGGGGCUAAAGUUGUCCACGUGUGGAUUUUUGCAUGUACCGCAUGAAUAAGUACCGGCUAAUUCCGUGCCAGCAGCCGCGGUAAUACGGAAGGUCCGGGCGUUAUCCGGAUUUAUUGGGUUUAAAGGGAGCGUAGGCCGGUCUUUAAGCGGGCCGUGAAAUUUUGUGGCUCAACCAUGAGCGUGCGGCGCGAACUGGAGACCUUGAGGGCGCGGAAGGCAGGCGGAAUUCGUGGUGUAGCGGUGAAAUGCUUAGAUAUCACGAAGAACCCCGAUUGCGAAGGCAGCCUGCCGCAGCGUGACUGACGCUGAAGCUCGAAAGCGCGGGUAUCGAACAGGAUUAGAUACCCCAGUAGUC